rnacentral:lncRNA from 1 species
GAGCAAACUAAACUCAAAGCUCCAGAAGGAAGCAAAUAAUAAAGAUUAGAUCAAAGAUGAGUAAAAUAGAAAAACCAUAGAAUCAACACAGGCAAAAAUUCUUGAAAAGAUUAGCACAAGUGGUAAAACCCUUAGAUUUACAAAGGACAAAAGAUGAUGUGACUGAUGGGCUGAGGUUGUGGCUCAGUGGUAAAGUGCUCGCCUAGCAUGUGUGAGGCACGGGGUUCGAUCCUCAGCACCACAUAGAGAUGAAGUGAAGAUAUUGUGUCCACGUAAAACUAAAAUAAAUAAAAGAUGAUGUGACUGAAAGUAGGAAUAUUAUUACCAACCUUACCAAAAAAGGAAGAUAUAAUACCGUGAAUGGUUUUGUACCAACAGGUUAGAUAGGCUGUAAGAAAGCAAAAAAAUUUAUAGAAACACAAAAAUUAUGAAAAUUGACUCUAUCUAAACAUACCAGUAACAAACAACAAGUUUGAAUUAGUAAUUAAAACUCCCAGCAAACAAAAAAAAUAAAAAAUAAAAAAAAAAAUAAAAAAAUAAAAAAACUCCCAGCAAAGAAAAGUUAAGAAUUAAACUACCUUCACUGCUAGCAUUUAAUGAAUACCCAACUUUCUCAAUUCUUUCAGCAUAUUGAAGAGGAGGGAACAUUAAUUUAUUCUGUGAGGCCAGCAAUAAAUACCCUGAUACCCAAGCCAAACAAAGAGCCUAUAAAAAAAGAAAAUUACAAACCUGUAUCACUUAUGGCUAAAGAUGCAAAUCUCUGAAAAGCAUAAUAUCAAACUAAAUACAGGAACAUCUUAAAAGUAUUCUAUCCUAUGACCACAUGGGGUUUAGCCCAGGAGUAGAAGAGUAUUUCAGCUCCAAGAGAGCCAAUCAGUGUGAUCCACCAAAGGAACAGAAAGAAGUAUGAAAACCAUGAUCACCUCAACUCAUGCAGAAAAAAACUGGGCAAAUUCCAACUUUGAUGAUUUUAAAAAAACCAAACAAACUGAUAAAAGGCACAUGGGGAAAACCACAGCUGACAUCAUGCUCAGAAGUAAAAGACUAACAUUUGCCCUAAUAUCAGGAACAGGAGAGAGAUGGCCUGCAUCACCACUGCUGCUCAGCAUUGUACUGGAAGUACAGAUUCCAGAGCAGUUAGACAAGAAAAUGAAAUAACCAAUGUCCAAAGCAGAAAGAAAGAUGUAAAAUGAUUUCCAUAAGACAACUCCAUAUGUAUGAACCACAGAAUCCACAGGAAAACUACUAGAGCUAAUAAAUUCAGCAAAAGUUUGGGGCCCAGAUCACUGUUUACACACACCAGCAAUGAACCAAUCUGAAGGGGAAUUAAGAACACACUUCUAUUUACAUUAGCAUCAGUGGUAGGGGGAAAUCCCAGGAAUAAUUUUAAUCAAGAAGAUAUAAAACUUAUUCACCAAAGACUGCAAAACAUUGUUAAAAAAGAUCAAAGCAAGCAAGAAAACAGAAGACAUCUUGUGUUCACAACUUGGAGGACUUAAUAUUCUUAAGAUGCCCAAACUAUACAAAAUGGCUACAGAUUCAGUGCAAUUUCUAUCAAAAUUUCAGUGGCAUUUUUUUGCAGAACCUAAAAGGUUCAUCCUUAAAUUCAUGUGGAAUUACAAAGGGCCCUGAAUGGCCAGUCUUGGAGAACAGAGUUGGAGGAUUUACGUGACUCGGUUUCAGGCUUACUACAAAACUGCAGUAGUCAAAAUUGUUUGGUCCUGUCAUGAAGAUGGAAUUGACUAUCCAGAAAUAAAUCCAUACAUCUGUGACCAGUUGCUUUUUAGCAGGGAUGAUAAGAUCUUCCAGUCUAUGAGGAAAGAUAGCCCUUCAAUACAUGGCACUGUAGCAAGUAACCCAACAUCCCAGAGUUGGAACCAGGCACAGCAGUGCACACCUGUGAUCCUGGCAACUCAGGGGGCUGAGGAGGAAGAUCACAAGUUCAAGGGAAAGUUUUAUUUUGUUUUUUAAUUUUGUUAAUUUUGUUAAUUUUUUAGUUGUUGAUGGAUUUUUAUUUAUUUAUAUGUGGUGCUGAGACUCAAACCCAAUGCCUGGCACAUGCUAGGCAAGCCCUGUACCACUGAGCUACAACCCCAGCCCAAGGCAAAGUUUGAUCACAAGUUUUGAGUCUCAAUUUUUCAAAAAGGGUGGGGGAACUUGGGCUGUAUCUCAAUGGUAAAGCACCUCUGGGUUCAAUCCCCAGUACAAAAAAAAAAAAUGAAGCUGGAUUCCUACCAAUGCUGUAUACAGAAAUUAAUUGAAAUGAAUCAAAGAUAUUAAGAGCUUAGAAAGCAUCAAAGUCUUGGAAGGAAAUAGGAGCAAAUCUUCACAACCCUGCAUUUGGCAAUGGAUUCAUUAGAACAUCAAAGGCACAAGCAACAAAAGAAAAAUAAAUGAAUUUGACUUGAUCAAUCAAAGGACAUUAUCAAGAAAGUGCAAAGACAUCCUACAUAAUGGGGGCAAAUCUUUGUAAAUCAUGUUAUGUGAUAAAGGUCUAGUACUGGAAUAUAUUAAAGAAGUCUUACAAUCCAACAACAAAACAACACACCUUAAAAAUGGACAAGGAGCCAGGUGUGGUGGCACAUGCCUGUAAUCCCAGCAACUUGUGAGGUUGAGGCAGGUUUGCAAGUCCAAGACCAGCCUCAGCAACUUGCAAGAUUCUGUCUCAAAAUACAUUUUGAAAAAUGGGCUAGGGAAGUAGCUCAGUAGUAGAGCAACCCUUGGUUCUAUCCCCAUUACCGGAGUAGGCAAUGGGUUUGGAGGGCUGUGGGUAGGCAAAAGACUGACUACAAAUAAAUGACUAACAAAUGAAAAGAGGCUUAACAUCAUUAGUCAGUAAAGAACUGCAAAUCAAAACCAGAAUCAGAUUGCCACUAGAGUGUCUGUCCACAAUAAAAAUAAAAAUUAAAAAAAAAAAAAGACAUUGCUCUGUAAUGAAGGGUGGGUGGUUGCAUAGCACUGUGAACGUGCUAAAUGCCACCAAGUUGCUUACUGUAGAAUAGUUAACUUCCGUAGUGUGAGUUCCAUCCUAAUAAAUCAUAAAAUGGAAACAGAAUCCCCUGCAAGAGGUGGGCAUAGUGGAGCCACCUGAAUGUGAGGUGUUUCUUUGGGGUCUGUACCACAGGUGGGCUGGCCUUGCACUGAGAUGGCUGCUACACCCCAUGAUUUGUGACAGGUGACAGUCAUGUGGGAUCCCAGGAGUGUGGUCAUGGCUAACGGACUCGAAGCCAUGUUGCACACAUCUGAAAGCCAUUAUUCAAACACCAUUCACAGAAAGGUAUUGUCUCCCAAAGGAAAUACUGUCAGAUGAUUUUGUGCUAGAAGGGCUGACUCCCAGUACAUAAGAAUGUAGUGCAGGCAACUGUUUACUGUCAGAUCUUUUCCUUUGCCUUUAAACAUAAGUUUUAGUAAUAUUUCCUAGAUUUUCCUAAAUGGAAACUAUUUUUCUGAUUUUUAUAGUUCCUUUUUAAAGAACUUUUUAUCAUUCUUUGCUACAGUUUGCAGGUUGCAAAGAUAAAGUACAUCGAAUUUAAUAAGUCCAUAAAGUGAUCUUCUACCAUUCACAGAAUUCAUUUUUGAUACCUGUCUCAAUAAAACUGAUUUAAGCCAUGACUCAGGCUAGAAAGCCCUAUUGUCACACCAGUGACAUUCAGUCAGGACACCAGAUUCCGCUGGCAGACUGUAUUUUAUGGCUAGCAGGCUUAUACUGGUUUUGAGGGUUUUUAAGGGUUGUUUGUUUUUUAAAAAAAAAAAACAACAAAGAUCAUUUCACAAGCCAAGCAACCAAAAAGCUUCAGAUAGGUUCUCUCUGACCUGUACAGAAAAUCAUUACUGACUGCUGUUUCUAGACCCCAUGGAGCCCGGGUUCCUGCAGUCUGUGUGGAAUAUGACACAAAGGGCAGCAGGAAGGAAAGAGGCACCACUGUCCCUGUAGGCAUAGGUAGCAGUUCCAUGGGUGUACUGCAUCCUGCAGGGGCACUGUGGCUGAGAAUGCCUGUGAGAAGCAUGAAGCCUCACCAUAGACACAUGAGUGCAGCAGGCAGCAGCUGGGCCUGUGAGGGCUGGCCAUGUGGCCAGAUCAGUCUGCAGUGAUGCCAUUGGCAGCUCCUGGGCACAGAUAUGUCCAUGCUGGAAGCAAGUUCUGGAUGUCACAGAUAGAAUAGGGAGAAGCACUGAGAGAACAGGACAAAGGUACCAUUAGGCCAAGGAGGCAGCACAGGGCACUGGAAGGGUACCCCUCACCACCAAGCAUCAGUGACUGCAGCUGGCCGUCCUAUGUCAGGGAGUGGUCCAGGCAGUAUAGGAGACAGCAGGGACAGGUGAUGAAGAGAAGGGGGUUGGCAUACAUACAGUGGUCAGGGAAAGGCUGUCUAGCAAGGUGUGUUUGAGCAGAGGCCAGCAGGAAGGCCACAUGGAGAGUGUUCCAGGCAGGGUGAGCACCAUAACUUGGAACUGGCUUUGCUUCUUAUAAAGGAACAGGCUGCUGCUCAUCUGAAGCAGGCUUUAUCUCCCAUGCUGGUGAAUCCUGAGACCAAGCCUGAAUGCCACAAGCUGGCACUGAGAGAACAAAAGAUGGGCCUAAGAGGUUUUUGGUAUGAAGAAAAAAGGUAAAGUGUGUAACAGUAUAAGAAAGCAUGUGAUUUUCCUUGUAUGAUUUUCCUUGUAUGAUUGGGAGGGCACCUGAAUUGAGGCAUAUUCCCAAUUAGAGCUCACUGACCUUGCUGAUGGCCUACUAUGGGUGUGACAGGAAGUGGGAGCCAAAAGCCACCCGAGUCUUGACCUGAGCCAGUGUGCAGGCUGGUGCAUUCUUGAAAUGUGGAUCCUAGGGAGAGUGGGUUCCCUCCCUCCCUCCCUUCCUCCCUCCCUUCCUUCCUUCCUUCCUUUCUUUUUAAUAAUGUUAUUGUAUUAUUUUAUUUAUUUAUAAACCCAAUGCCUCAUACAUGCUAGGCAAGCACUCUACCACUGAGCUAUAUCCACAGCCCCGAGGGUGGGAUCUUGAUCAUCCUUAGCUCCCCUGCAGCCUUGUGACCUCAGCUCUUACAGCCUCUCCCUGGGCUUUUUGCAAGACCAGGGGCUGCUGCUGGCAGUGGGAUCUCUGCUUUCUUCACCAGCUCCUCCAUAGAGGUGAGGUCAGCAGCUCUGCAGACCCAUCUGUGUCUGCUGUUCCUGUCACUGUGGUUCCUUAUAUAACUUCAGUGUUUGUUGUUUCAGAUUGUGGUAUUAGGACAGAGGACAAGGAGUUUCACCCAAAGGAAGACGUUUUGGAGGAUUUGGAAUCACAGGCAGAAAUGUCAGAAGACUGUGCUGGUGAUAUUUCCCAGGUAUCUGAGCUUGGAGGACUUUGUGAUGACAUAUUAGCCAGAGACUGGGGUGUCCCUGAAGGCAAGAGCCUGGGGCAGUCCACACACCGGGAUGGAGAUUUGAUGUCAGUAACAGUGCUCCUUAAGGGCCCUUUAGGGGAGAAAGGUCUGGACUGCAGUGGUGUUGACCAAAGCUUCAAUCUGAGCCCCAGCCAGAUGACACAUCAGGAAGUCCCUACAAAAGAGAAGCUGCAUCCAGAUGACACAGAUGGCCAGAGCUUUCAACACAGUGUGUACCUAAGUGGCCCUGAGGGGCUUCCCAUAGCUGAAAGCCCACUCAUAUGUAAUGGGUGUGGAAAAACCUUCAGUGGCAACCUUGACCUUAUUCAGCAUCAGAUAAACAGCACUGGAGAGAAGUCCUGUGAGUGCAGUGAAUGUGGAGCACCCUUCAGUCAGAACUCGGUUGUUAAAAAACCCCAUCGAGCUCACUUGAAUAUGAAAGCCUACCAGGGGCACACAGGCCCUGCUGGGUGUCAGGGUCUCCCCAGCAGUGAGAAGCCGUAUGUGUGUAAUGAAUGUGGGAGAGCCUUCAGCCAGAACGCAAGCCUUAAAAAGCACCAAAAGUCUCACAUGAAUGAGAAGCCCUAUGAAUGCAACGAAUGUGGGCAGGCUUUCAGGCGCAGCUCCAACCUCAUUCAGCAUCAAAGAAUUCAUUCAGGGGAGAGACCAUAUGUGUGUGAGGAAUGUGGUAAGGCCUUCAGGCGGAGCUCAAAUCUCAUUAAACACCACAGGGUUCACACAGGUGAGAAGCCUUUCGAGUGUAAGGAGUGUGGGAAGGCCUUCAGCCAGAGCGCACACCUCAGGAAGCACCAGAGGGUUCACACUGGAGAAAAGCCCUAUGAAUGUAACGAUUGUGGCAAACCCUUCAGUCGUGUCUCCAACCUCAUUAAGCAUCACAGGGUUCACACUGGAGAGAAGCCUUACAAGUGCAGCGACUGUGGGAAAGCCUUUAGUCAGAGUUCCAGCCUUAUUCAGCACCGACGAGUUCACACUGGAGAGAAACCUCACGUGUGCAGCGUGUGUGGAAAAGCGUUCAGUUAUAGCUCAGUGCUCAGGAAGCACCAGAUAAUCCACACAGGAGAGAAGCCGUAUGGAUGUGGUAUCUGUGGAAAGGCCUUCAGCCACAGCUCAGCCCUCAUCCAGCAUCAGGGCGUGCACACUGGCGACAAGCCCUACGAGUGCCGCGAAUGUGGGAAGACCUUUGGUCGCAGCUCCAACCUCAUCCUUCACCAGCGAGUCCACACUGGAGAGAAACCCUAUGAAUGCACUGAGUGUGGAAAGACCUUUAGCCAGAGCUCAACCCUUAUUCAGCACCAGAGGAUUCAUAAUGGGUUGAAACCCCAUGAAUGUAACCAGUGUGGUAAGGCCUUCAACCGAAGCUCCAAUCUCAUUCACCACCAGAAAGUUCACACUGGAGAGAAGCCCUAUACGUGUGUUGAGUGUGGUAAGGGCUUCAGCCAGAGCUCACACCUUAUUCAGCAUCAGAUAAUCCACACUGGUGAGAGGCCGUAUAAAUGCAGUGAGUGUGGGAAGGCCUUCAGUCAGCGUUCAGUUCUGAUCCAACACCAGAGGAUUCACACUGGGGUGAAGCCCUACAACUGCGCUACUUGUGGGAAAGCCUUCAGCCAGCGGUCAAAGCUGAUUAAACACCAGUUGAUUCAUACCAGGGAGUAACUUGUGGGCUAAAAGGAGUAAAACUGAACCAUGGUUCCUUUCUGACACCUAUGGAUCCUUGUUUCAGCCUCUCCCUUCCCAGGCCUGAGGCUCACUCACUGCCCUCCACUCCAUACAAAGCCUGGAGCCCUCCUUGGAAACACUCUUUCCAGACUCCCUCCCCUUCCAUUGCUUUCAGAUCCUGUGAUCUCUCGUCUGUUUUUUCUGUUUUAUUUUUAUUAUGAGCAGACUGUCACAUUGGUUAGGUGGCAAAGAACAUGAGGGCCACAUAUUCAUGAAUGAAGUUUAUCAUGAUGAUGAAAAUUACCAAAAAGUAAAGUGAUCUUUGAUUGGAGAUAACCACAGUAACUCUUUUGUUAGUCGUGGGAGUGAGUUCUCUGUCAGUGACUGACUCACUCUCGCUCUCUCUAUAUAUAUAUAUACACAUACAUACACACACACACACACGCAUAUAUACAUACAUAUAUAUACACACACAUAUUUAAUAUGACAUCAAGUGGAGGGAGUUUUCAGGUCUGAUUGCUCUCUUAUUGUCCCCAGAGGUGGUAUGCCAAUUAUUUAUUCUUCUAUCCCUCCCUUUCUGCAACUUGUACCCAGACCCCCACUGCCUUGCUUCCCUGUGCAUACCUGUGGUCAGUUAGUCAUCCUCCUUGCUGCUGUGCUAUGACCCAGGUCCCAGCCUCUGGUUUCUGUGCCUCCAGUGCUGGACCCACAAUGGCAGCUCUUUGUACCUCCUUUUCCAGUGAGGAAGCUUCCAGGAUCAAUCUUCUCCCAGAUCAGUCUUCAUCACCAGACAUCUUUUAAGCAAGUACCAGGUGCCCUGCCCUAGGGCCCACCUCCUCAGUGUCCCCUAUGCCCUGAAAAGGAGACAGGUUAGGUGCAACAUAGAUGUUACAAGAGAGGCCUCUGAACUCCAGCCAGCAAGUUGCAACAACAGAGUGUCGCAGGACCCAGACAGAAUCUGACCCACCACCUGUCAGUAAAUAAAAGUUCUGUUGGGGUACAGCCAUGCCUAUUUGCUUACACAUAUCUACAGCAGCUUCUGUGUGGCAGAGUUGAGUAGUUGUAGACAUCAUAUGGCCCACCAAACCAGAGUAUUUACUUUCUAGCCUUUACAGAAGAAGUGUGCAACCUGGCUUUAGGCAGCUACCCUGUGGUAGGUGACUCUCAGGGCCAGGCUUUGCCAGAGGCUCACAGUUGUUGUAGGAAUCAAGGUAUGAUGUCUUGAUCAGGAGUAUAGUUUGUGCUGUGCAGUGGUUUCCCGUGUACAGUGGAUGGUUCCUGAGCAGUUGCCACAGCCUCUGAGGAUCCCUCCCUUCUCACCUCUUCCUAACACUAUUCCUCAGGAGGAGCAUGCAGCCUAGCAUGGACCUGAGUUCUUGCUUCAGUUUUGUGAGAACUAAACAUCCUGGUCGUGGCAGCCUUGGUUAGAUAUUACCAUUCAUAGAAUAUUAGAAUCUCAGAAUCACUAGGAGAGCUAAAGAAACAGGUUUGGGGCCAACUUCAGGAAAGAUUCCAGAACCAUCUGUGCAGCAGCCCUGCAACUUGUAGCUGUUCUGUACUUGGGAUUCCUAGGUGUCUACAAGAAUCUAAGUGGAGAAAGAGAGAGCUAUUAAAUGAAUCUGAACCUUAAAGCAGAUUUGGGAUGGAGAUGUCAACUUGAAAAUCACUGGCAUUUUUUUUAAGAGAGAAUUUUUUUAAUAUUUAUUUUUAGUUUUUGGUGGACACAACAUCUUUAUUUUAUUUUUAUGUGGUGCUGAGGAUCAAACCCAGAGCCCCGCGCAUGCCAGGCGCUACCUCUUGAGCCACAUCCCCAGCCCCAUCACUGGCAUUUUUUAAGAUGUGGGACUAGGAAUGUAGCUUAGUGGUAGAGCUUUUGCUUAACAUGUCUGGGGCCCUGAGUUCAGUUCCAAGCACUGCCAAAAUUAAUAAUAAAAUGGGAUAUGAAUCUCUGGAAAAGCAUGAGAUAAUUAGGGAGAGGAUUAGGAAGGGAACUCGGAACAGAGGAUUGAUACUCCCAACACUGAGCAUUGGCUAGUGAGAAGGUGGGUCUUGAGACACCCAGCAUUAAAUAUUGUUGCAGGAAGAGCAACACAGCACCUGUGGGGAAGAGGGACGCAAGUGACCAGGAGGGGUUACCACAUCAAACGCUGUGGUGAAGAGAUGUGGCUGCCCAAAGACCUGCUUUGUUGGAGUAGGAGGGCAGGAAGGAGCCAGGCAGUGUGAGGCUGGUGGAAGUGGAAGGAAGAAUGAAUUAAGCCCUUCCAAAGCCAAGAGGGGUAAGUUUUGAACAGUCAGAGGCUUCUGCAUUGCUCCAGGUACAGAGAAAAUGGACAAUAUAGUUAGUUUUGUAGGUAUGGUGGGAAGGUGAGGUUCCAGGACAGAAGAGGCAAGAUCAUCCACUAAAAAUGGGGAUAGGGAAGUUGUGGACAAUGUGAAGAAAAGAAAAGGAAGAGUUGGCUAGGAGUAGGGAAGGUCUGGACUUGAGCUGGAUGGGCUGUGCCCCAAGUCUCAACCCAAAAGCAACAUCUGCACUCUGCUCUAAGGUUUCACCUCCACCGGCACACCCUUACCAAGGCAAAUCCCUGCAGAGAAACAGCCACCUCUGGAGUUUUGAGAUCACUCCCUGCAGCAUAGAAAGAA